rnacentral:lncRNA from 1 species
UUCUAUAGCUUGCUUCUUAAGUGAGAUUGAACACGAACUAUUGAUCAAGGGUGACUUAUGGGGGUGAGAGAUCUGAGCCAUCAAUUCCAUAGAUAAGCCAUCAACGUUAUGGAAGAUGCAUGAAUCUUUAUCCCCUUUUCCUAAACCAUUUUCCCAUUAAUUGAAAUUAUCUAAUCAAAAUAUUGUGCAUUCUAUAAAAUAACACAAGCCUUCUCAUACUUUCACAAAAUCUUUCAAAAUUAUAUCAAGUCAAAUAUUUAGUCAAUAUAUUCCAACCACAAGCCAAUCUUUGACUACAAAUCAAAUUUGACCAUUUCCAAAAUUGUAAAAGAAGCAUCUAAAGAGUGGGGUGUGCCACCCAUGAGAGGGCCUCAUGGACCCCACCUUCUAGAUCAUAGUGGGUUCAUGUACACAAUGGGCCCUUAUUAAAUUUUUAUAUAUUUAAAAUUAAUAAAAAUAAUUUUUUGAAAUAUUAUUUGAAUAUUUAAAUCAUUAUAAAAUUAAUAUAUUUAAUUUUAUAAAUUUAAAUAUUAUAAAUAAAAUAUCUAGGGGUUUAUAAAAAUUCAAAUAAUAAUUUUAAAAUAAUUUCUAUCAUAAAAUAAAUAUAAUUAAAUUAAUUUGAUGAGAAAAUGAUUUAUAUCGUUUGAGGAUUAAAUCAAUAAUCAAUGGGCACUUCAUCUUUAACUGUGGACUACUGAUCACACUUGUUUUAUUAGGCCGACCUAGUAUUUUCUAUGACCCACAGUCUAAGCAGGAGCUCAUUAGUGGGUCAACCAAGUCUGGCCGAUGAGCCAAGGGGUCGCAAUCACAGUAUGUGGAUUUCAAGCUCUCUCCAAGAGACGAGUCAAUGUUACCUAGAUUUGAUGCGACCACAGAUCUUAUGGUGCAUAGGGGUAUCUCUCGCACAUGUAUUUGCUUCAUCCUGAAGGUGGCUUGCUUUCUCGAAACGGUUUAUCAAUUUGCAUGUCGUGUGAUGGUAUAUGGAUGAGGAUUUAGCUCUCGUCUCUAUAGACUACCAUCACACAUAGUCCUUCAACUCACUCAUCUGAGCAUACUCCGAUAUCAUCAAGGCAUGACCGAAUAGAACCCUUAUCGGUUUAUCCUCUAUGCCUAAAUAACAUGGGUUUUUUCCACCCGACUGGCCUAAACGGUCAAGUACAGUCUGGUAUCUACAAACAGUGUUUUCAUAGUAUGGUCUACGUGGGACCACACUCCCAUUGAGUUCACGUUCCACUAUAUCAAAUGUUUUAUUAUAAUCACUUAUAAAGCUUUUAGUGGCCACAUAAACCCAACAAGUAUAAAUUGAAUUUUGAUGGCAUCUCUUUGAGGAAUCUGGGACCAGCUGGAGUGGGGGGGGUUUUGGGGAAUUCAAGUGGAGAGAUCAUCCUUUGUUAUGCCGGCCCUUGUGGUGAAAAAGCAACAAAUGAAGCGGAAAUGUUGUCAGUUUGACAAGGGAUAAAAAUAGUGAAAGAUAGAGGUCUUCAGCAACCAUGUGUCAUUGAAGGAGAUUCUUUGAAUGUUAUUAAUUAGUGCAACAACAUUUCAAGACCUUUAUAGAGAUUGCGAUCACUUUGGCUGGGUGUGAUUGAGAUUGGGAAUGGCCUAUUCGUAUCAUUUAGACAUGUCUAUAGAGAGGCCAAUGCGGUUGCAGGUUAUUGUAAGAAGAAAGAUACAACGUUUCAAUCUCUCCUUAUUUAUGAUAUUCUUUUUGGUUGAAAGUAUUGUAACUCGUCCUGA